rnacentral:rRNA from 1 species
AGUAACACGUGGAUAACCUGCCUUAUACUGGGGGAUAACAGCCAGAAAUGGCUGCUAAUACCGCAUAAGCGCACGGCGCCGCAUGGCGCAGUGUGAAAAACUCCGGUGGUAUAAGAUGGAUCCGCGCCUGAUUAGCUAGUUGGCGGGGCAGCGGCCCACCAAGGCGACGAUCAGUAGCCGGCCUGAGAGGGCGACCGGCCACAUUGGGACUGAGACACGGCCCAAACUCCUACGGGAGGCAGCAG